GCUUUCAUAGUUCAACGGUAGAACACCCGACUGAUAAUCGGGAAAUACAAGUUCAAGUCUUGUUGAAAGCACCA
rnacentral:tRNA from 1 species